GAUGAACGCUGGCGGCGUGCCUAAUACAUGCAAGUCGAGCGAACAGAUAAGGAGCUUGCUCCUUUGAAGUUAGCGGCGGACGGGUGAGUAACACGUGGGUAACCUACCUAUAAGACUGGGAUAACUUCGGGAAACCGGAGCUAAUACCGGAUAACAUUUAGAACCGCAUGGUUCUAAAGUGAAAGAUGGUUUUGCUAUCACUUAUAGAUGGACCCGCGCCGUAUUAGCUAGUUGGUAAGGUAACGGCUUAACAAGGCGACGAUCCGUAGCCGACCUGAAAGGGGGAUCGGCCCCACUGGAGGUGAGACACGGUCCAGACUCCUACGGGAGGCAGCAGUAGGGAAUCUUCCGCAAUGGGCGAAAGCCUGACGGAGCAACGCCGCGUGAGUGAUGAAGGGUUUCGGCUCGUAAAACUCUGUUAUGAGGGAAGAACAAAUGUGUAAGUAACUGUGCACAUCUUGAGGGUACCUAAUCAGAAAACCACGGCUAACUACUU
rnacentral:rRNA from 1 species